UACGUAGGGGGCAAGCGUUGUCCGGAUUUAUUGGGCGUAAAGAGCGUGUAGGCGGCUUUACAGGUCCGUUGUGAAAACUCGGGGCUCAACCUCGAGACGCCGGUGGAAACCGUAAAGCUAGAGUCCGGAAGAGGAGAGUGGAAUUCCUGGUGUAGCGGUGAAAUGCGCAGAUAUCAGGAAGAACACCCGUGGCGAAGGCGGGUCUCUGGGCAACAACUGACGCUGAGGAGCGAAAGCGUGGGGAGCGAACAGG
rnacentral:rRNA from 1 species